UGGUGUAAAUCUGGAGUGGAUCCCCUGACUUCAGUGGCGUCACUCCGCAUUUACAUUGCU
rnacentral:pre_miRNA from 1 species